rnacentral:rRNA from 1 species
UGCGCAGGCGGUUUUGUAAGACAGUGGUGAAAUCCCCGGGCUCAACCUGGGAACUGCCAUUGUGACUGCAAGGCUGGAGUGCGGCAGAGGGGGAUGGAAUUCCGCGUGUAGCAGUGAAAUGCGUAGAUAUGCGGAGGAACACCGAUGGCGAAGGCAAUCCCCUGGGCCUGCACUGACGCUCAUGCACGAAAGCGUGGGGAGCAAACAG